rnacentral:lncRNA from 1 species
AAGCAGAUUUGAAGCAGUCAAAAAAAAUAGUAGAGUAUUUCUAGCCCCAAGAAGUAAUGUAGUUUUCCUAAAUCCUUUAUCUUGAACUGGUCAUCAAGGGAAACCUUUAGGGAGUUUAUCUCACUUAUAACUGAGUGUUUGUAUCCUUUUGAGUGAAGACUGCUGCCCCUUACAGGAUGCCUUGCUCAAAAAUUUUAAAAUGGAAAAAACCAUAUUAAAUGACAAAUGAUGAUUCCUU